rnacentral:lncRNA from 1 species
UAACUUUCUCCCCUAGUUCUUAUGACUCUUUUUUCUUAAUCAGUAUGCUGCAUCCUCACCAGCGUCUGCUAUUCCUUAACAUGCCACAUAAGUUAACAUUCAGGGCCUUUUCACUGCCUUAACCUCUCUGCAGAAUGUUCUUUCCUAGUGGCAUGGCUUAUAUGCUUAUGAGAUUCUCUGCCUAUAUUGCCUCUUUAGACAGACCUUUCCUAACCACCUUAUGUAUAGUAGCAACCACCUCCACAUUCUGUCCCCAAUCCCUGCUUUUUCUUCUUAGCACCUGAUGGUAUAUAUUGCUUAUAAUGUUAUGGUCAGUCUUCUUCUCUGGGAUGUAAACUCUAUAAAAGCAGGUACAUUAUAUGGGAUACAGCUGUAUAACCAGCACACAGAAGUAUACCUGGCACAUGGUAAGGAGUGCAAUACAUAUUAAUUCAGUUUAUGAAUGGAUGAAUGGGAUUUCUGUUAUCCAAUAACAUAGUUUUUGUUUGAAUGAAUAGGAAAUUAAAGAAAGUUAAGGAUGUGCCCAUAAAGACAAUGAUAAAUAAAUUCAUGUUCAUUCCUCAAAUGAUACGAAUUUUUUUUAAGACUAGGAGAGUUAUUCAGUAGUAGUAAAGAAAAAAUUUAUUUUUUUAAAUACUAUUUCAGUUGAUGGUGGGCUUUAUUUGUUUACUUAUUUUUAUUCAUUUACUGUGCUGAGAAUCGAACUUAGUACCUCCCAUAUGCUAGGCAAGCUCUCUGCCACUGAGGUAUAACCCCAGCCCCUCAAAAUUUAUAUUUUCAACAAGACAGUUUACUUCAUAUGAAAUUCAUAAAAAGCCUCAGUAUUACUUUUGAAUGGAAAGUUGCAGUUAGUGUAUUUAGGCCUGAACAUUUAAAAAGCAAAUAUAUACAUAUUCAUA